rnacentral:rRNA from 1 species
UUGACCUCGAAUCAGGUAGGGAUACCCGCUGAACUUAAGCAUAUCAAUAAGCGGAGGAAAAGAAACCAACCGGGAUUACCCUAGUAACGGCGAGUGAAGCGGUAACAGCUCAAAUUUGAAAUCUGGCUCCCUGCGGAGUCCGAGUUGUAAUUUGUAGAAGAUGCUUUGGGUGCUCGGCCCGGUCUAAGUUCCUUGGAACAGGACGUCGUAGAGGGUGAGAAUCCCGUAUGCGGCCGGGGUGGGUGCUCGUGUAAAGCUCUUUCGACGAGUCGAGUUGUUUGGGAAUGCAGCUCAAAAUGGGUGGUAAAUUUCAUCUAAAGCUAAAUAUGGGCCAGAGACCGAUAGCGCACAAGUAGAGUGAUCGAAAGAUGAAAAGCACUUUGGAAAGAGAGUUAAACAGUACGUGAAAUUGUUGAAAGGGAAGCGCUUGCAACCAGACUUGGGCGUCGCUGAUCAUCCAAAGUUUUCUUUGGUGCACUCGACGACGUACAGGCCAGCAUCGGUUGGGGUGGUGGGAGAAAGGUUGUAGGAACGUAGCUCUUUUCGGG